rnacentral:rRNA from 1 species
UACGCGGUUACCCCGCAAGGGGUAACUGUUCGGCGAACGGGUGAGUAACACGUGGGUGACCUGCCUUCGAGUGGGGGAUAACAUCCCUUAAAGGGGUGCUAAUACCGCAUGACAUCCUGCCUUUGAAGAGGUGGAGAUUAAAGCUGGGGAUCGCAAGACCUGGCGCUUGAAGAGGGGCCCGCGUCCGAUUAGCUAGUUGGUGGGGUAAUGGCCUACCAAGGCGACGAUCGGUAGCCGGCCUGAGAGGGCGGACGGCCACACUGGGACUGAGACACGGCCCAGACUCCUACGGGAGGCAGCAGUGGGGAAUUGUUCGCAAUGGGCGCAAGCCUGACGACGCAACGCCGCGUGGAGGACGAAGAUCUUCGGGUCGUAAACUCCUUUCGAUCGGGACGAAUGGCCGGUGACCUAACACGUCGCCGGAAUGACGGUACCGAGAGAAGAAGCCCCGGCUAACUCCGUGCCAGCAGCCGCGGUAAUACGGGGGGGGCAAGCGUUGUUCGGAAUUACUGGGCGUAAAGGGCGCGUA